rnacentral:rRNA from 1 species
GACGAACGCUGGCGGCGUGCUUAACACAUGCAAGUCGAACGGAAAGGCCCUGCUUUUGUGGGGUGCUCGAGUGGCGAACGGGUGAGUAACACGUGAGUAACCUGCCCUUGACUUUGGGAUAACUUCAGGAAACUGGGGCUAAUAACGGAUAGGAGCUCCUGCUGCAUGGUGGGGGUUGGAAAGUUUCGGCGGUUGGGGAUGGACUCGCGGCUUAUCAGCUUGUUGGUGGGGUAGUGGCUUACCAAGGCAUUGACGGGUAGCCGGCCUGAGAGGGUGACCGGCCACAUUGGGACUGAGAUACGGCCCAGUCUCCUACGGUAGGCAGCAGUGGGGAGUAUUGCACAAUGGUCGGAAGCCUGAUGCAGCGACGCCGCGUGCGGGAUGACGGCCUUCGGGUUGUAAACCGCUUUCGCCUGUGACGAAGCGUGAGUGACGGUAAUGGGUAAAGAAGCACCGGCUAACUACGUG